ACCCAGGCACCCCGUCAAUUUUUAGAUUAUAAUUUCAGAGGGACUAGAGAAAAGAUGACUGGGGAUCUUUUCUUUUUUCAGAUCUUUUCUCUCUUUCCAAUUUCUUUGCUUCCGGCAGGCAAAUCUGUAAGGAAUUGAAAUUGAGUAUCACCCCACAAAUUAGUUUUGAAGAACCUGAUAUGCUGACACCUUGAGCUUCACACGGUAACCCCACCAGCCUGGGCCUGGAGCUCUGUCUUCACCUCCGGGACCUCAGGACCGUUCGUGUACAGGACACCGUUAGCCUGCCCAGAAAUACAGAAUGCUCAGUUGAUACCAAGGACAUGAGUAACUUGGAAGAUAAACUAAAUGGAAUAUAAGGAAUACACAGAAUACACGGAUUAUAUGAUGGAACAAAGAGGACUGUCACUUAAAAAGGAGUAGAAAUGUGCAAAGAGGAUGAGUAGUUGAUGUGAGCCUGGCAUUAGCCACAUGGAGCAUAAGGCCUGGGGACGCCAGACUGUGACAGGCACUCCAUAACUGGAUUAUUCAUCGGGAACCAAAGCCCACACCUGUCCUGCAUUUUAAGAGGUACCGUCCGUCAGGGGACAGAAGGUCCAAGAACGCGAGGAUAAAAUGCUUGCCUUGAAGUUUUGAGGUGCCACGGGGCUGCGGCUCAUUCUGCCCUUCAUGGUCCCAGCCAGGAGGUCACCCGAUGUCUACAACUCCCUCCAUGCCAAGAAGGACAAACUUGGGACGCUACAUAGCAUCAUUUCGGAUUGUUUUUCAUAAUUUGGGGGGCAAAUUCAACUAUCCCUCAUGGGAAACUUGAUCCAGAAUGUUUUUGUCCAGGCAAAAACUCAGGUUUGUAUCUACUUAAACUACAAGGUUCUUUAGAGACAAUAUCAGAUUAAAACUAGAAUUGUAUCUUUGGAAUAGCUGGCUUAUUGAUGGGUUUCCUGCAUUAAUAGCAAAAACUCUCAAUGACAUCAAAUUAUGAUUUCACAGCAGCAGGCGCCACUUGGAACACUCUACUAAUGCUGUGAUUGCCAUGGUGAGUUAGGAAAAGAUCCCUAUUUGCGC